UCUGCCAUAAAGCCCCGACUUGUGGAGGGCUGCAGUGAUAGUUGACUUUGUGGAACUUUCUCCCAUCUCCCUACUGCAUCUCUGGAGCUCAGCCACAGUGAUCUUUGGGUUCUUCUUUACCUCUCUCACCAAGGCUCUUCUCCCACGAUUGCUCAGUUUGGCUGGACGGCCAGGUCUAGGAAGAGUUCUGGUCAUCCCAGACUUCUUCCAUUUAAGGAUUAUGGAGGCCACUGUGCUCUUAGGAACCUUGAGUGCUGCAGAAAUUCUUUUGUAACCUUGGCCAGAUCUGUGCCUUGCCACAAUUCUGUCUCUGAGCUCCUUGGGCAGUUCCUUCGACCUCAUGAUUCUCAUUUGCUCUGACAUGCACUGUGAGCUGUAAGGUCUUAUAUAGACAGGUGUGUGCCUUUCCUAAUCAAGUCCAAUCAGUUUAAUUAAACACAGCUAGACUCCAAUGAAGGAGCAGAACCACCUCAAGGAGGAUCAGAAGAAAUGGACAGCAUGUGAGUUAAAUAUGAGUGUCACAGCAAAGGGUCUGAAUACUUAUGACCAUGUGAUAUUUCAGUUUUUCUUUUUUAAUAAAUUUGCAAAAAUUUCUACAUUUCUGUUUUUUUCUGUCAAGAUGGGGUGCUGAGUGUACAUUAAUGAGAAAUAAAAUGAACUUUUUUGAUUUUAGCAAAUGGCUGCAAUGAAACAAGGAGUGAAAAUUUUAAAGGGGUCUGAAUACUUUCGGUACCCACUGUAUAUACACAUAUAUAUAAUGGAUCCUGGUGGAGCCUCCUACCAUGGUACUGCUUGACUGCCAUUGCCAAUAUCACUGAUAUUAGUGUUGUUAUUAUUAUUAUAAGUAUUAUUAUAGCUACGGUUACUGUCAUUGUCAGUCACUACUAUUAGUGUAGUUGUUCUACUGUUGUUGCUAUGCACCUGUCUGUCUGUCUGUCUGUCUCUCUCUCUGUCUCUCUUUCUCUCUCUCCCUCUCUCUCUCUCACCCCAACUGGUCGAGGCAGACGACCACCCACCUAGAGCCGAAGGGUCUGUCCUAGGUUUCUGACUCUUAAAAGGACGUUUUUCCUUACUGCUGUCGGACAGAGUCAGUUCAAUCAGUCUUCCUUACUAUGCUUUCCACAGUUUACGCUGCUUGUGUCAGCCAGCCCUCUAACUAUCACAGCCAACCACACAUCCCCAGACGGCCUUCAGGCUGAGAAAAUAACCAUCACCUUAAGUCCCAUCAUACUGACCAAUGGCUGCUGUGUGUCUGUGAGUAUCACUGAUGCUUAUUUGAUAACAAUGAAUUUCAUUAUUGAAGGAGAAAAAGAAGAAAAAUAUAAAUCAUUUUAGUUUUUAAAUCUAGAAGCAAUAUGUUAAAGGAUACUAGAUUACUUUUUCUUACUGUCAACAACUUCUAUGAAAAGACCAAAACAGUAUGACAACAACGUGUUAGUCUGUCACUCAAAACCCUCAAACGUCCCUACUGUGGCACUGCAAGCUCAACUGGUUAGAGAGAGCAGAGCCAUCCUCAUUUCCCAUUGUGUUCAAACUCCAAACAUUGUAAACUGAAGAGAACUGAAUUGAACACAAAUAUAAAGGAUGUUCAUCAUGUGACUAAACAGACAGUACAGUCAGAAGAAUAAGUGCAUUGAUGAUUUUAGAUGGAUUCCUGGCAAAUAGUAAAAAGAUAAAGCAAUGUUAUUGUUCUCUUUAAAGGGCUUUAAAGGCUCUGAGGAGGACAAACAAAUGUAGCUAUGUAGCUGUGACACUGGAGCUGGAUAUAAUUCCAGUUUGGAUCUGUGUGUGAUGACAGACCGGAUGAUGUUAAGGACAACAAAGUGUGUGUGAUGCUGCUGCAGAUGAGGACACUUUUGGAAACAGAUAGAGACAGACAAAAAGGAAAACAAACACAUGACGGAUUUAUUAGUAUAUUACAUCAAAUGCAUCUAAAUAAAUGACAUCAAAAGCUCUGAACACCUCCGGAUAGAUUUCAAUCAACAAUGAAGACACGCUGACUCACUCAUCCACACACAAACGUCAGACGUCUGUCUCCAGUAUCUGACGUUGUCUCCACGGCGCAUAGGACAUACACAACUUUUAGCGUUUGUUAAAUAAUGGCCCGCACGCCAUCUUUGUCCUAUACUUUCAAUGUUAAACUCGACGACCCUGCAGCCCCUCAGUAACCAGUUUUUCUCAAUCACUACAUCAUUAUUCAGACUUGUGUCACCUGUCACAUGCUCUCUGAGUAUAAUUAAUCAUCUAUAAUCAUUUUACACUGAGAUAAGGAGUGUAAUGCAGGUUUAAUAUUCCCAUGCUGUUCUGGGGAAUAUUUUCAACCAACACCAUGAAAUGAGUCCUCUAUGUAUUUCUGAACCUUUAUAAUGGAGUGUACUAUCUGUUAUGCUACUCUAUUGAAGAAUAAUAUAGAGCAAACAUGUGUCAGUCAGCAGCUCUACUGUGUUUUACCAUAGCGCUCAUCCAGCAAACGGAGGAUGCCUACAGUCAGCAGGUAUUUCUCACGCUGUAAACCAGAGGAGGCCAUUGUUUCCUCACUGCAACAGCUGCUUUCUCACUUCCAGAUGUCUGCACUCCAACACAGAUGUUUUCUUAACUGAGAUAUUUACUUUAAACAAAUGAGCACUUGUUCCACAGUUGAAGAGUUUCACUGUCAACAGUUGAGCUCCUGUCUGUCAGCGAUUGUUAUUAUUAUUAGAUCAAAACCCCAGUAGCUCUAUACAGGCCGCAGCUGAAAUGGAAAUCAGUCGAUCAAUAGAAAACUUUUUUAAACAUUUGAUCAUCAGUGACAGGUUACGGAUACAUUGAAUGAUGAACAGAAAUAUAAUCAAUAUCUAUUCUGAUAACAAAUUCAUUGUUUCAGUAAUUUUUCAGGUAAAAAUUAUAUUUUGUGGUUCCAGCUUCAAACGUAAGAAUUUCUCUUCUGUUUUGUGAUUUCAGGUCUGCCAUUCUUCUUCUUCUUCUUCUUCUUCUUCUUCUUCUUCUUCUUCUUCUACUUAUUAUUAUUAGUAGUAUUAUUAGUCUGUGUUUAUGUAAACAAAGUUAUUGUGUAAAACAUUUAUGGCUCCAUGUAAAGCAGUUUUCAUUAUUACUGUAGUUCUACUGACUGUAUAUUUGAAAAAGGAUGCAUUCAGUUAGUCAUAUCCAUUCAUCUGCACAACAAUGUGUGUAAACUGGAGACAAUCGUUCUGUCUCUUUAUUUCCAUUUCCGUCUGUCAGAGCAGUUUUUAUUAAUUGUCGGCAUAGCCAAACUCCUAUUUCUAUGUCGGUCGGAUACACUCCAGAAUAAAAGUUGUCUUUCAGUGGAUUUUCAAUGGAAUACCUGUAUACGGUAUAUAUACUGAAAUCCUGCCAUCAGCAGCAGGAAUUCAUUGACCCUCUGUGCUUUUACUUUAAGCAAAUAUCCAAACUCCAUUUCCUGUUGAAUCCAAAUCCAUUGUGUGUGUCAGCAGGAUUAUUACAGGGAGCUAUCACUCUAUAUUCAUGCUGAACAUUAGUGCCAUUGUUGUGCAUAUUAAUGGAUAUGACUAACUGAAUACAGCCUGUUUAAAAUAUACAGUCAACAGAACACACAGUAAGAAAUAUAAUAAUAAUAAUAAUAAUAAUAAUUUUUGCAGUAUGUAUAAAUGUAAAUGCAUUAAAUUACAAAAUGAUUCAGUUUCAUAUCUGACAAAGAAAACAACUAAUUCUCACAUUUGAAGGAACCACAAUAUAACCUCAAACAAUUAAUCUGUUAUUAGAAAAGAUAUUGAUUACAUAAUAUCAAAAUAUAUUAUAUUGUAGAUACUGUUCAUGAACCAAUCAAUUAAUGAUAAUUUCAGUUUCACCUAUAAUCAGAUUCAAGAUCUUAAAUCUCAAAUACAACGAAAUCUUCAUUAAUGUUAUUGUCAUUGUUAUUAUUUUAUGAUUAUUGAUGAAUAAUCCAAUAUUAUUUUCCUAAUUAGAGCUCACAUCUGUAUUGUGUUGAUCAAAUGUUUAAAACCGUUUUCAAUCGAUCAACUAAUUGUGUUCAGUCUUGUGUUCCAGCUGCAGCCGUGGUUUAAUCAGGCUUUUGGAGCCCGGCAGUGUCUAUAGAGAGGAAACUAUAUGAUAAAUAUAUAUAUAAACUCAGGUUAUUGCUAUUAUUUCCUUCUUUUUUCUGUGUGUAAAUCCAUCACCACCUGGUGAGCAACCUUUACAGUUCAGUUACCAUCCACACAAACUUUAUUGUUAUUGUUUGCCUUCCAUUCUAUGUAUUCAUACAGAGCCCGGGCGUGACAAUAGAGAGUAAAAAUAGAUAUUGUGGCCACGUUUUACUACAGCAUGCACUCCAAAUGCUAUUGUGUGCACGUGAGCUACAAUCUGUUCCCACGUUUUGAUUAAUUUGUGCGCACAAGACUAAAUCAAAGCAGCACAACAGAGCAGCCUUUCUCUCCAAAGCAUGAAGUGCUGUGCUCCUGUUUCAACUGGUAUUAUAGAAGGCAUGUUGUGGGCCCCCACAUUCACCAACUACACUGACAAUGAAGGACUAAACUAUUAAAUGAACCGAACUUGGCCAUUUCUUCACCAUAAUAAACCCUCCAUUGAACACAUAGGUAGGCACUGACAGGCACUGCCUCCAAUAACUCAUGGUUUAGUUGUGGGUUGUUAUGUGGGAUUGUGAUAGAGAUUGUAAAAUGUAAACGUUACAGUAAACAUCUGGAAAUGGUGAAUGUACACACUUAUUAACCACAGCCUAAGAGAUCCAUCCACAUAAUUUUACUCAUUGAUAGCAAUGAGCUACCAAACUGUAGCACUAACCUAUAAAAUGGAGCUGACAUCAGUUCUUCAGCUAAAUGAACUGCAUCCUAUAAAAUGCAGUUUCCUAUUUCAGUCAGGACCACUUUUGUCAAAUAACUUUUAUUCCGAAGCAGAAUGUUACAUUUGGUGGUAUGGCUCUGUUCUGGGACCUCCUUGCCUUUCCACGUGCCUACGUGGAAAACCUUAAGGCAGUAAGAGCACACCUCCAUGUCCUUCCAUGUGUCUACGUGGAAAAGUUUAAGACAAGGAGAGCGGCAGCAGAGACCCCCCAGGGUAUAGAACAGAGCAAGCAUCAAUGGCAAUCAGAAAAUUACACUGAUUAAUUACAUACAACAUAAAAGGAGGAGCUGGGUUGGAGGUGGGUUGCAAAACAGCUUGUAGAGGAAGCAGCAAAGAUACGCAAGCUAUCUUAAAUAAGACGCCCUGAAUGAUAUUCGCCAAUUGGAUGCUUGAGGGAAUCAGCUGAGCUGUCAGCUGAUGUGUGAUCCACGGAAUGGCGCCGGCGACAACGGCAGCCUGUUAUGGCAGCUCCUAUCAUUGUUGUAGUUUCAGUGUGUUUUCAGUGUGUUUUUUGCUAUUUUUUAACUGUUUUCUUACUUUCUUACUACUUUGUUCACGUCGCCUAAAUACUUUUUGGGCUUUUUUGAGCACUUUUUAUUUUUUGUUUGCACGGGGCUCCAUGGCGACGGGAGUCGCAAUAUUUACACCCGCGACCAGGAGGCGAGGCUGCAGAGCGGUCCCGACAGGGACACCACUGCGACCGGCAAGAAGAAAGGAGGGGGACUGUCCGUGCUCAUAAACAACAGGUGGUGCAACGUCUGUGUGAAAGAGCGUGUCUGCAGCCCGGACAUCGAGCUUGUCGCCGUCGGACUUCGUCCAUAUUAUCUGCCACAGGAAUUUUCCAGUAUUAUCGCCAUCACUGUCUAUAUUCCUCACAGUGGUCUUCAUCAUCACCAUCACUGUUUACAUUUAUGAUGUCUUAUUUAUUCUCCUGUACAGCACUUGGUUGUUUUUAAAGUGCUUAAAAAAUAAAGUUGGAUUGGAUUGGA